CGACAUCCAUUUUGUUUACAUUUUCCAUCUCUCUUUUACCCGUACACGAAUCAUUACAUUCUUCAGACAUUGCCAGUGCCAAUAUUCAUCAGAUUGUAAUUUUACGCAUAGCUUAGUCCGAGUUCUCUUAAAUUGUUUUCCGUUCUUCUUUCAACUCAUUGUUGUUGGGCAUUGGACGUUUUAAGGAACCCAUGCAAAUAAUUUACUAACUACAAACGUAUUACUAAUUGUAUUGGAAUUUUCGAGCUAGCUGCUGUUAAAUAUUAAUCGUUAUUUUUUAACUAUUUAAAUUAAUAUGUCUCAUCGUGACUGGGAUCAGUCAUGCAAAGUGUACAUUGGUAACUUAGGCCAAAAUGGUACUAAACAUGAAAUUGAAGCAUCAUUUACUAAAUAUGGUCCUUUGAAAAAUACUUGGAUUGCAAGAAAUCCACCUGGUUUUGCUUUUGUUGAGUUUGAAGACCCAAGAGACGCUGAAGAUGCAGUUAGGGGACUUGAUGGGACUCGUAUCUGUGGAGUUCGUGUUCGAGUAGAAAUGUCUAGUAAUCGACCUCGAAAUGGAAGAGAUGGCCGUGGUGGUGGUGAUCGUAGAGGUGGAGGAGGAGGUGGGGGCGGUGGCUACAACAGAGGACCUCCACGGUACAACAAUGAUAGAUACAAUGACAGGAAAAGGAUCAUUGGUUAUCGCCCAUACUAAAAAAAUUAUUCACCCCAUCUUAAAAAAAUUACCUUGGUCAGUGAAAAAUGACUAUAUCAACCAUUUUUGUACUUCGCUCGCUCCAACAAUUCUACCAAAUUGAAUUACUGUAAUGUGUUAUUUAACAUCACAUGUUUGGAUCAGCCUAUUCUACACUAUUCUACAAUCUAUUCUUCCAUCACCUCUACCCUCAAUCAACUCUUCGCAAGCACUCGUAUGCUUUAUUGGCUGUUUUAACGUCUCCACUCACACUCCAUCUAAAUAACAUACAAUGUUAUUUAAAUUUUCAUUGAAAACAGAACUGUGUACGUGUUCAAGGUCUCGAUCUCGUUCACCAAAGCGACGUGCUCCACCUUCUCGCUCACGUUCAAGGAGCUAUUCUCCAAGACGUCAACGUGCUUCACAUUCCUAAGUUGAAAAAGUUAUUGAUGAUACAACACGAGUUGAAUACAACAAACUUAAGCUUGGUUCUUAUAUUUUACUCAUUAAAAAAAAAAAAAAAUAAAUACUUACUCUGCUUGUAAUAUAUUGCAGAAAUAAUCGUAUAUUUCUUUAUAUAUAAAUACUUUUUUUUUACAAAAUGAAUAAUUUAUGUAAAUUUUUUUUUACUUAUGAUUGCUUGGUACUUCCGAAAAAUCGCAUCAAAUUAGUAAUAAUGAUAAGUUUCUACUUUAAGACUUUUUUUAACUGUACCACAAUAUUUUGAUUUUAUUCAAAAUAAACAAUUAAUUUAAUUAA